rnacentral:rRNA from 1 species
CUAGUUGGUGGGGUAAGAGCCUACCAAGGCGACGAUCGGUAGCUGGUCUGAGAGGACGAUCAGCCACACUGGGAUUGAGAACGGCCCAGACUCCUACGGGGGGCAGCAGUGAGGAAUUUUCCGCAAUGGUCGAAAGACUGACGGAGCAACGCCGCGUGCAGGAGGACGCUUUUCGGAGUGUAAACUGCUUUUCUGUGGGAAGAGAGUGGACGGUACCACAGGAAGAAGCCCCGGCUAACUACGUGCCAGCAGCCGCGGUAAUACGUAGGGGGCGAGCGUUGUCCGGAGUUACUGGGCGUAAAGGGCAUGCAGGCGGUCGGACGCGUUUUGUGUGACAGCGGGUGGCUUAACUACCCGAGUAUGCGAAAGACGGUUUGACUUGAGGGCUCGAGAGGGACACGGAAUUCCGGGUGGAGUGGUGAAAUGCGUAGAGAUCCGGAGGAACACCGAAGGCGAAGGCAGUGUCCUGGCGAGUGACUGACGCUGAGGUGCGAAAGCUAGGGGAGCGAACGGGAUUAGAUACCCCGGUAGUCCUAGCCGUAAACGAUGACCACCAGGUGUGGGAGGUAUCGACCCCUUCCGUGCCGGAGUAAACACACUAAGUGGUCCGCCUGGGGAGUACGGUCGCAAGAUUAAAACUCAAAGGAAUUGACG